rnacentral:tRNA from 1 species
GGUCGCGUAGCUCAGCUGGAUAGAGCACCUGCCUUCUAAGCAGGCGGUCCCAGGUUCGAAUCCUGGCGCGAUCAC